rnacentral:rRNA from 1 species
CGUAGGGUGCGAGCGUUAAUCGGAAUUACUGGGCGUAAAGCGUGCGCAGGCGGUUUAGUAAGACAGGCGUGAAAUCCCCGGGCUCAGCCUGGGAACUGCGCUUGUGACUGCUAAGCUAGAGUACGGCAGAGGGGGGUGGAAUUCCACGUGUAGCAGUGAAAUGCGUAGAGAUGUGGAGGAACACCAAUGGCGAAGGCAGCCCCCUGGGUCGAUACUGACGCUCAUGCACGAAAGCGUGGGUAGCAAACAGGAUUAGAUACCCUGGUAGUCCACGCCCUAAACGAUGUCAACUAGGUGUUGGGAGGGUAAAACCUUUUAGUACCGGAGCUAACGCGUGAAGUUGACCGCCUGGGGAGUACGGCCGCAAGGUUA